UAUAGGGGAAGUAACUCCAUCAGUGUGACACGCUUAAGUUGACCUUUCAUGGGGUCAUAUUUUCCACCAAAAAGGAAACUUUGUUUGCGAAAUAAAUAAAUACAAGCGAGGGUGACACAGUUUGGUGUGGCUUUCCUCGGUGGACUCCAGUCAGAAGUUGACAUCAUCAUCUUCAUGUGCCGCCCCUUUUCGGUCGCCCACUGCGAAAACGGAGAAUGCGUGGCCAGUCGAUGUGGCGCCUCAUUCGAAUUUUAUUACGUAUACGUAACCGAAUUCAAGCUGUUACAGUGCGGGGUAAUUCGAAAUUUGUGGAGCAGAGAAUGAAGAAUCUCUUGCCAAGUAAUGGAUGGAAACUGAACCAAUACUAUAAAUAAGAAAGUUGUUGUUUUUGUACCAAAUAUACACAAUUAAAGGCAUAACAACAAUGCCUUUCAAAAGAGGUGAGAUGAGUGAAUUAUGUAUGUAAGUACCAGUGAUAUUUGCAAUUUUCACAUAAAAAAAUAUUAUCAUGGCACAUUCAUGCUAGAAAUAUAUAGUUAGCCUUCACCCCUUUCUUCCUUUACUUUGACAAGUUAGCCCUUUUAUAUCGAAACAACGAUCUAAAUACUUUAAACGCGUUGAUUUAUAAUGAACGACACACAAAAAGUUUCUUUAAAUGGGUUCCGCUUUUCCAGCCUGUAAGUCUUUUUGAUUUUUUCCCUUUUGAGAACAUAUUACUAGUUCGGUUUCUGUUUAUUUUUGUUUUCAUAAUAAUUUGUUUUUCUUCCGUUCACCGCGUUUAUUUCGCACAUUAAAAUACAUUUUCACACCUUUAACAUAAGAAUUCAUAUAACAAACUGUUCGGAUGAGUCUCAACUAUUUAUAGAAUUAGACAAAUGAUUUAAUUAGUCCAAGAGCCCAGAUGAUGUGGGAAAUGAGGAGGGAAACUCCUCUAAUUGUGUUGAUAAGGUUGCGUGAUUUGGCGCGACAGUAAAUCAAGAUCGUCGGUCGUGUCCUUUAAAGAGUUUUGCAUGUCCGGCCCUGUGAAAAUGCCAGGACAUGCCUGUUUACCACAGGAGAAGGCAAACAUGCCACGAAUCCACUUGCUCAACUACGGCACCUUGAGGGCAAACAGUUUUGAAAGGGGUUUCUCAAAGGAGUGGUGGCUGUCAAAUAUUGACUAUAACAUAUUUAUAAUUUUCCUUUUCCAGCUAAAUUACGACAUUACGCUAGAGGUGGCGAUAUUACGUAUACGCUCCGAAGCCUCUAGUUGCAGUGACCUUGGGAUGCCAGUUGUUGGAAAAGCUUGGCAGCCUUAUAUUGACUGGACAUAUGCAAAAUCCAUUGCCACACCGUUUGUAUUCUUUCGGUUCCUUUGUUCAGGGGUCUUUGGAACAGUUUCAGUGCCAUCCAAGGUCGCAGUCCAAGGGUUUUUUAUCGCCCACGCUUAACACUCUAAAAGCAUUCGCUGAGGUCACGCACAUGGCCCGACUUGGUGUGGCUUCUUUUAAAGCAGUUCUGGGGUAAUUGAAAGCUGAGACUUGUUUUGAAGGAAGUUGCACUCCACGGCCUGUCUGGGUUCCUUUGGAAACAUUCCACCCUGAGGACCGACAGCUCUGCCUUUGCAUCAGCAAAAGCACCCCCAUCGAAAUGUAGCGCAAGAAUAACAAAUAUAAUACGAUACGGAUCGGAUGUGUGUCACGAUAAUCUCCGCUUCCUGGCCGAAGGUACCCCGAAACUUUUAUCUGCCUGCAUUAUCAGUUGGCGCAAAUUACGCAAUUCAAGUCGGGAAGCGCAGAACUAACCCCCAAACUGGCGGCCAGACUCUGACAUAGUUUCCUGCCAAGUGCGGGUAGAGAUUUCCAGGGGAUGCGGGAUGCCAGAUGUCGAAGACAGCGGGAAACUGGAGCAGGCGACAUCCUGGCGCCACUCUGACAUGCGCACUCCCCGAAUCUCGUAAGCCCAGAUUGAAACGCAAGCGAAAAUAGAGCAAUUAGAUAAUUGCAGGACACCGGGAAAGGCUAAUUGAGAGCAACAGGGGGCCGGAGCUGCUGCUUCGAUUCACCGCCUAAUGACCCAAUCACAAUGCCCAUUUCUCAAUCACCCUCAUUAAAAUCAGGCGCGAUUCAAAGGCAUUCAACGGGCCAUGGAAAUAUGGAAACUGCAUUCGGCGUUUGGAUUCUGUUUGGCAAAUCAUGUGGGCCGUUCCGAAAUGACUGUGGAAAUAAAUAUCGAAAUGUCUGGCAGUCGGGCGAAUAUUUGUAUUUAUAGGGCAUGCAGGUUGCCAAUCAUUGAAAAGCGUGAAAAUUCUCGAAACGCGAAUAUGCACGUGUAUAUAUAGAAAACGAUGUCCAUCAAGGAAGCAAUGACCCACGAACUUGUUCCAUUCGCGAUGAGGAAAUGUGCAGUAUAUUAUGAAAAUGGAUCAACAGAAAUUAUUUUACUUAACUUUUGGCAUUUCAAGUAUGUAGACAAUCGGGAUUUCUUUACUAAUUCUUGUAUUUUUCAAAAAGAAAAAUAAAAACAUGCUACAAAUCUCACCUUUAUUGUGUAAUUUUAAACUGGCCUAACUGCUCGCAAUAAAUAAUAGUGCUCAUAAUUUUCAAAUGUCUUUUCUCUUUCUGCACGUGUUCAAUGCAAAAUAAACCAGUGAGCGCUUCUAUAUUUAAGCCCACAUAGCCUCCUAUUAAUAUUUCAUUAUAUUCCACACAUCCUUUAUUAAUUUGUUUACGACAGAUAAAAACAGACCCAUCAUUUUAAGUGUCGUCCAUAAAUCCGCUUUCGAAUCGAGCGAAACAUAAAUUGCCAAGUAUAUUUUAUGGAUUUCACCUGAAACUUUUUUAGUUGUAAGCCAAAUUUUGAGAAUUUUUAUAAACACCGCAAGGGAAAAGCGCUAAAUGGCCGCCGGAAAAACUACAUAAACAAAUUGCGCGAAAAUUGGAAACAAAUUUCAUUCAUGGGCUCUGGGUAUGAAAACCAACACACCUCAAACUUUAUGCGGAUCCGCGACCUUGUGGGCCAGAUGGAAUUACAGGUGCACAGAAGAAAAUUGUGGUCCGAAAUUAUGCUGAAUUUCGAGUACAUUUUGUAAUUAAGAAGGGUGUUUACUCUGAAAACCAGUGAGCUUUUAGAAUUUUCUCUGUGCACCACACACAUUGGAAAAACUGGAUAAUUAGACCACCUCUUGGGAGCUUUAUGUUUACAAGGGGACUUAAGAGCGUUUCAGUUUGCCGAUCGACACUUUGUUGUUUUG
rnacentral:misc_RNA from 1 species